AAACAAUUUUAGUAUAAGAGACUGCUUGUGCCUGAACAAAGCAUAUACCGGAGCGAGGCUUAGCCAUUGCACUUCGCCUGAGUGGACUCUUCGAUUAUUUAUAAUGCGAAUAAGUCGUAGGCGUAUUUUUUGGUAGCGAAGAAUGGCAUUCGUGUCAUCCUGAC